UGUUUCAGCUUUUUAAUUUCAUGAAAGGAUGUUAUUCAUAUAUUAAAAAAGUUGAUAUCAGUUUCUGCAGUUUGAAAAUAGUGCUGAAACAGGUUAGAUUGAUAUAGUAUAAAUAAUUACAAAAAUGUACAUACCAGUGACAAAAUAUAUGUGUGUAUUACAUACAUUGUUUAAUUAAGUGCAGUGUAUUUAUAUGUAUGGUGUAGUAGAUUAUAUAGCUAUAUAUAGAUUUUAAAUGAUAAGUGCUUUAGUCGUCAUUCAUUGUUUGUUGUUACCAGUGCCUACAUUUUUAUCUGACAAAAUUAUAUACUCAGUUAUAUGUCGAUUAUGUACAGCUACUAAUUCAUCUGUCAAUGCAGAAAAUAUGAACUACAAUUUAUAUGAUGAUGUCAUCUAUUUUAUCAUGGUAAACAAAUAAAACGUAAAAGAUAAUUAUUAGGUCCCAUAAUUGUGAAUUGUUUUCUUAUUAUCACACCUUACUGU
rnacentral:lncRNA from 1 species